rnacentral:misc_RNA from 1 species
GAUGAAGAACGUAGCGAAAUGCGAUAAGUAAUGUGAAUUGCAGAAUUCAGUGAAUCAUCGAAUCUUUGAACGCACCUUGCGCCUUUUGGUAUUCCGAAAGGCACACCUGUUUGAGCGUCAUGAAUACCUCAAUCUCCAUCUUUUCUUCGGAUUGAUGGGUGACUUGGAUGUUGAGCCCUGCUGGUAUGCUAUAUCAGCUGGCUUUAAACUUAUUAGCCGGCUCUGUACUGGAUCGGUUUGACUCGACGUGAUAAUAUUAUCGUUGAGGAUGCAUGUCUCAUGCAGCCGGAAAGUAUCAAAGCAGCUUCUAGCUUGCCUUUAGUGCACUUUUACAUUUUAGACCUCAGAUCAGGUGGGACUACCCGCUGAACUUAAGCAUACCAAUAAGCGGAGGA